GGUUCAGAAGCUAGUUUCUGCCACAGAAUAAAGAUAUACAUGUUUUUAUUUCACAAUCAGUUUAUAUGAUUUUCUUGAGUCUGUUUUAUGGAUAUUAUUGAAUGUGCCUUGAGGUGUUUCUAACUAAAUUACUGCAGGUUCUGUCUCGAUUCAGACCUGUAUGCAUUAGUCUGUAAAUACUGUACAAUAUAAAGAGCUGUUGCAAAUAUAUUUAAGAAUGCUUGAUGAAAUGUUUAAUUUAUUCUCUGUACGGAUUGCACGCUUAUAUUUACAUGAAAUUCUUCAGCAUGUCUUUGCUUGCUGGUGUUUAUCGUUUGCAUGAAGUUCUGUUUUUGUUCAUAUUUCCACUCACGGGCCUUUAGUACUGCUGAUGUGACUUUAUUUAUGAAUAUAGAUUUAUGGACAUGUUUGAAUUGAUUUCUACUGUAUAAAUUCAUUCUUUCGGGGCUGUUUCAUAACAUUUCAUUAAAAUUCUUCAAACUCAA